UACGUAGGGGGCAAGCGUUAUCAGGAAUUACUGGGUGUAAAGGGAGCGUAGACGGUAAUGUAAGUCUGGAGUGAAAGGCGGGGGCCCAACCCCCGGACUGCUCUGGAAACUAUGUUACUAGAGUGCAGGAGAGGUAAGCGGAAUUCCUAGUGUAGCGGUGAGAUGCGUAGAUAUUAGGAGGAACACCAGUGGCGAAGGCGGCUUACUGGACUGUAACUGACGUUGAGGCUCGAAAGCGUGGGGAGCAAACAGG
rnacentral:rRNA from 1 species